GGGCCCGCACAAGCAGCGGAGCAUGUGGUUUAAUUCGACGCAACGCGAAGAACCUUACCUGGGCUUGACAUGUUCCUGACCGCCGUGGAAACACGGUUUCCCUUCGGGGCAGGAUCACAGGUGGUGCAUGGCUGUCGUCAGCUCGUGUCGUGAGAUGUUGGGUUAAGUCCCGCAACGAGCGCAACCCCCGUCGCAUGUUGCCAGCAUUUAGUUGGGGACUCAUGCGAGACUGCCGGUGACAAACCGGAGGAAGGUGGGGAUGACGUCAAGUCAUCAUGCCCCUUAUGUCCAGGGCUACACACGUGCUACAUUGGCGCGUACAGAGGGCUGCAAGACCGCGAGGUGGAGCGAAUCCCUUAAAGCGCGUCUCGGUUCGGAUUGCAGGCUGAAACUCGCCUGCAUGAAGGCGGAGUUGCUAGUAAUCGCGGAUCAGCAUUGCCGCGGUGAAUACGUUCCCGGGCCUU
rnacentral:rRNA from 1 species